rnacentral:rRNA from 1 species
UACGGAGGGUGCGAGCGUUGUCCGGAAUCACUGGGCGUAAAGGGCGCGUAGGUGGCCCGUUAAGUGGUUGGUGAAAUCCCGGGGCUCAACUCCGGAAUUGCCUUUGAAACGGGAUCGCUAGAGUCCGAGAGAGGAUGGCGGAAUUCCUAGUGUAGAGGUGAAAUUCGUAGAUAUUAGGAAGAACACCGGUGGCGAAGGCGGCCAUCUGGCUCGGUACUGACGCUCAGGCGCGAAAGCGUGGGGAGCAAACAGGG